rnacentral:ncRNA from 1 species
AAAGUUUUAUUUUGGCUUAUAAUUUAUUAAAUUUAUAUUUUACAUGUAAAUUUUUGUAUGAAUAAAUAAAAUUCUUAAAGAAUAAAAUUAUUAUUCGCAGUAUUUAACAUUAUUUAUUAAAGAAAUUUUGAAUUAGUAAUAAAUUUUAAUAUGGGAUAAAUUUGUGCCAGCAUCUGCGGUUAUACAAAUUAUAUAAAUAAAUAAAAUUAGUUAAUAGUUAAUUUAUAAUUUUAAAUUUUAAUAUAUUAAUUUUAAGGUUAAAUUUUAAAUUAAUAAUAUUUAAUAAAAUAUUUUUUUUUGAAGCUAAUGAAAUUUUAUAAUAAACUAGGAUUAGAUACCCUAUUAUUAAAAUUAAAUAAAUUUAAAUUAAGGUAGUAAUAGAUAUAUUCUUGAAACUUAAAAAAUUUGGCGGUGUUUUAGUCUAUUUAGAGGAACCUGUUCUGUAAUUGAUAAACCACGAUAAAUUUUACUAAAUUUUAUAUAAUUUGUAUACCGUCGUUAUAAGAAUAUUUUAUAAGAAAUUAAUAUUCAAAAAAUUUUAUUAAAUUUUAUUUCAGAUCAAGGUGCAGUUUAUAAUUUAGAAGAAAUGGGUUACAAUAAAUUUAUUUAUAUGGAUUAUUGAUUGAAAUAUUAAUAUAAAAGUGGAUUUAAUAGUAAUUUAAAAUAAAUUUUUUAAUUGAUUAUAGCUCUAAAACAUGCACAUAUCGCCCGUCGCUCUUUCUCUUUAAAGAAAGAUAAGUCGUAACAUAGUAGAUGUACUGGAAAGUGUAUCUAGAAUU